CCCACCACCAGCUUGUCACAACUCACAGCCAAAACCUCGUACAUUUUCAGCUAGCCACAAGCAACACAAGUCCAAGACAAGUCAAGCGUUCGCACCAAGUCAAACCGCGCCUCACUGCCACCUUCGUUUGCGCACCAUGGAGCUUGCCCUGGUUGGCAACCCUUCGAAUGGCGUGGCGAAGCCGUCGUGCAACUCCGUCGGCUCGCUGCCCGUCGUCAGCUCCAACGCCGUCAUCAACCCGCCGGUGACCAGCGCGGCGGGCGCCACGCUCGGCAGGCACCUCGCGAGGCGCCUCGUGCAGAUCGGCGCCACCGACGUGUUCGCCGUCCCCGGGGACUUCAACCUCACCCUGCUCGACUACCUCAUCGCCGAGCCCGGGCUCAAGCUCAUCGGCUGCUGCAAUGAGCUCAACGCCGGGUACGCGGCCGACGGCUACGCCCGCGCCCGCGGCGUCGGCGCCUGCGCCGUCACGUUCACCGUCGGUGGCCUCAGCGUGCUCAACGCUAUCGCCGGCGCCUACAGCGAGAACCUCCCCGUGAUCUGCAUCGUCGGCGGGCCCAACUCCAACGACUACGGCACCAACCGCAUCCUGCACCACACCAUCGGCCUCCCGGACUUCUCACAGGAGCUCCGCUGCUUCCAGACCAUCACCUGCUACCAGGUCCGCGCAAUGAGCCCUGCCUCUCGUCUUUCUUUUGCACUGGAUGUCUGGAUGAAUUUCGUCGAACACCUGAGCUGAACAGAGUGCGUUGCACGCAUGCAGGCCGUCAUUAACAACCUCGACGACGCGCACGAGCAGAUCGACACCGCCAUCGCGACGGCGCUAAGGGAGAGCAAGCCCGUCUACAUCAGCGUGGGCUGCAACCUGGCAGGCCUCUCCCACCCAACGUUCAGUCGCGAGCCAGUGCCACUAUUCAUCUCGCCAAGGUAGUGAACUAAACAUACAUGAUACAUGCACGCAUCUCGGGUUAAAAUCUUCUUUUCUCCAUAGUUUCUCAAUUUUGACAUAUGUCCUAUCAGGCUGAGCAACAAGGCGAACUUGGAGUACGCCGUCGAAGCCGCGGCGGACUUCCUGAACAAGGCGGUGAAGCCGGUGAUGGUCGGUGGGCCAAAGAUCCGGGUGGCCAAGGCGAAGAAGGCGUUCGCCGGCAUCGCGGAGUCGAGCGGGUACCCGUUCGCGGUGAUGCCGUCCGCAAAGGGCCUCGUGCCGGAGCACCACCCGCGGUUCAUCGGCACGUACUGGGGCGCCGUGAGCACCACCUUCUGCGCCGAGAUCGUCGAGUCCGCCGACGCCUACCUCUUCGCCGGCCCAAUCUUCAACGACUACAGCUCCGUCGGCUACUCCCUGCUGCUGAAGCGGGAGAAGGCCGUCAUCGUGCAGCCUGACCGCGUGGUGGUCGGCAACGGCCCGGCGUUCGGCUGCAUCCUCAUGACGGAGUUCCUCGACGCGCUCGCCAAGCGCCUCGACCGCAACACGACGGCAUACGACAACUACCGCCGCAUCUUCAUCCCCGACCGCGAGCCGCCCAAUGGCCAGCCCGACGAGCCACUCAGGGUCAACAUCCUCUUCAAGCACAUCAAGGAGAUGCUGUCUGGCGACACCGCCGUCAUCGCCGAGACCGGCGACUCGUGGUUCAACUGCCAGAAGCUCAGGCUCCCCGAGGGCUGCGGGUAAGCGCCACGCACCAUUCAUCUCGUUUCCCGGCAACUAUCCACUCUACACGUCAGCUUCCCAAAAGUCAAUAACGAAAGGCUGGUCAUUCCCAACAGGUACGAGUUCCAGAUGCAGUACGGCUCAAUCGGUUGGUCCGUCGGCGCCACGCUCGGAUACGCCCAGGCGGCCAAGGACAAGCGCGUCAUCUCCUGCAUCGGCGACGGAAGCUUCCAGGUGCGUCCUCUGCUCAUCUGCUGCUGCUGCUAUCUCCUCUGUUUCUCGCCAAUGGCGGCGGCUGUGCUAAUGUGCGUGUGCACGAUAUACAGAUGACGGCGCAGGACGUGUCGACGAUGCUGCGGUGCGGGCAGAAGAGCAUCAUCUUCCUCAUCAACAACGGCGGGUACACCAUCGAGGUGGAGAUCCACGACGGGCCGUACAACGUCAUCAAGAACUGGGACUACACCGGCCUCAUCGACGCCAUCCACAACUCUGACGGCAACUGCUGGACAAAGAAGGUUAAUUUCAAACACCACUCCACUACCACUACUACUCUACUAGUAGUACUAUAAAUACGGCUAAGUGCCAUUCGACUGGUCGAUCGUGACAGCUAAAAACUUCUUCCCCGCUCUUUUUCUACAGGUCCGGACUGAGGAGGAGCUGAUAGAGGCGAUCGCGACGGCGACGGGCGCCAAGAAAGACUGCCUCUGCUUCAUCGAGAUCAUCGUGCACAAAGAUGACACGAGCAAAGAGCUUCUCGAGUGGGGAUCCAGGGUCUCGGCUGCCAACAGCAGGCCGCCUAAUCCCCAGUGAUCUUGCUGCUCGUCUUCUCAGGACGCACACUCGAAAUUGCUGGGCUGCCAAUGUCUAAGAUGUGCUGCUUAUCAUCGUCUGUGAAUUAAUUGUUUAACGCUUCUGUUUCUGUAUCCAUUCAAAAUUUUCUUAGAGAAGAGGUUGAAUUAGUACAUGUCGAUGGGUGUUACCUAUCCUAUGAUAAUGUAUGUAAUUCAAAUGCUUGGAAUUAAUGUUUUGUAAACCUACACUAUAUUGCGAUGCAAUAACAUGGACGAUUUGAAGGAGAAGAGAUCACAUAGUUAUGACCUGCUUGGAAGCCUAGUGUUCGGGCCAAUGCACACAUGUAAAUUGCACGAUCGUAAUAUCGUACUACCUCUGUGCUAUAAUAUAAGAAACUAGUCCAGAUUCAUAUACUAGGGUGUCUCAUUCUGUACGAGGUUCUUAUAUUCUGAGAUGGAGGGAGUAAUACUUUUUCACGUUGGGCUCAAUUUCGCAUUUAGAUGGGCCGUAACAUACAAAUUUUAUGCCGGUUUCUGGCCCAAUCCGUCGGAAAACAAGAGUCGCUGCGCUUCCACGGCCUCAACCUCUCACAUCUCGAGCGUGUGUGCGUCGGUAGGAGCGCCACCGACACCAGUGCCACCGCCGCCGCAGUUCUCGAAUCCCCACCGGCCACCGCCACUAUCCUACUACCGUUUAGUCCGAUCUCAACCGCCGGUUCACCUCCAUCUACUCAGCUCCUAGCUGCGACCGCUAGAAUCGAUCCGCGGUGGUGGUACCACCGCGGUUGUGGCGCCCCUCGAUCCGUGCCACCACCAGAAGGAUGCCUCGAUUAGCAUUGACACUAGGGAGGUCUUCGUCUGCUCCUCCGCCUUGUGCCACCGCAGGCAGGCCUCCAACUAGCCCGGAUCCGUGUUCACCAUUAGCACCAAUCCCAGUCGGAGCCUCUCUCCACUGCACGAGCUUUCAUUCCCACUAGUGAGAUGAAAAUAAAGUUGAUACGACCGGAUAAUACUCACAUCAUAUUUGUCUUCAUAUUGUUUUUGUCGGAUAAGAAAACGAAUACGAAUAGCUUAGUUACGAAAACAAAUACGAAUUAUCUUAAAUAUGAAUAAGAAUCGAAUAUAAUCAGACAUAAAUACGAAAAUAUUAUUUCCUCGGAACACAUAAACCACUUAAACUUCUAAUAUAUAUAUAACCAAUGGAGACGACGCAACGGUGAGACCGAGAAGGUGAGGGAUUGAGUCGCAAAGGUGUAGACUGCCUCUCUUCCUAGUUUCCAGAGCCACACCUCGACAAGCUUCUCUACCUCUGUCUCUACCUCAAUCUCCAGCACCGCAUGUCGAGAUGAGGUCACCUGAAUCCUUGUGCCUCAAUUGGCUUGGUUUUAAUAGAUAACGGAGUUCAUAUAUAUGGUUUUAUGAUUGAGUGACGGGUGGGGAGAGAAGGAGGAGGGGCGGAUGCGAACGACACCAGUGGGGAUUGGUGGCCGUGGCGCGACGGAGGGGUCCGCGAAGUCAUCGGGCACAACGGACAAGCAUGUUCCCUCGUGGGCACGCCUAGGCUCCGACGAGCAGCCGCCCUAGACACGCGAGGCACGACGAUUGGGCCAACAAAAGCCUGGCGCCGUCUAGCUCCCCUUCUAUGCCUACGUGCUCUCCUCCGUCAUUACCAUCAUACGCCUCUCUACCUCCUUCAACUCCUCUAUUUCUCUCUGAUCCCCAAAUCCUCUAAGAUUCCCAUGGUCAUACUGCCACCAUUGCGUCGCCUCCCUCUCCUGCUCGCUGGUGCUGCUUCCCGUCGACGGCGAUGACACCCAUGGCAUCAACGGAGGGGAUAGAGAGAUAAGAGAGAUGUGAGAGUUGAUAGAGAGAUAAGAGAGAUGUGAGAGUUGAUAUAUGGGUUCAGGGGUAAUUUUAACAUUUCACAUGAUUUAUCUCAUCUUAAAAAAAUAUUUUAAUGGGUGCAGUGUCCGCUGGUAAAUUACCACAUUUAUUAAGUGUUUUCAUCAAUAGUCAUUUCGUGCGGUGUCUUACAGCUAAAACUGCAGAGUCACCAUGUUUUAUAGCAAAAUUUAUUUUUUGAAAAGAUAGACACGCGCACUGAUGGCCAAUGGCCCAACAGCGAGAAGAAUACUGUUUGCAAACUUUUGGCUCAUUUCCCUUUCAGUCCUACUUGCAGAUCAAAUUAUUCAUCACUAUUAGAAUCUUUCAUCAAAGCCUCAAGAAUAUCCCGUUAUACUCUCUCCGUACUCGUAAAGAAAGUUGUUUUGAACAGCGACACAGUCUCCAAAACACAAUUUUGACUUCUCGUUUCUAUAAAAAUACUUAUUGAAAAGUGAUAUAUGUAUACUUUUAUAAAAGUAUUUUUCAAGACAAAUCAAUUCAUAUAAUUUUUAUACUUACAAACUCAACAAAUUAAUAGUUAUUUAUGAUUUAUGUACUUAAUGUUUGACUUAAAUAUUAUCUUAAAUGACUUUCUUUCUUUACUAUUAAGUGAUAUAUGUAUACUUUUAUAAAAAUAUUUUUCAAGACAAAUCAAUUCAUAUAAUUUUUACACUUACAAACUCAACAAAUUAAUAGUUAUUUAUGAUUUAUGUACUUAAUGUUUGACUUAAAUAUUAUCUUAAAUUACUUUCUUUACUAUUACAGAGUACCGAGGAACUAAUAAAAGUGGAAGAACCAACUGAACCCUUGGACUGUUUGUCUACGUUGUGCGUGGAGCGACGACAGCGACGUCCUUCUCACUUUAUCACACUGCGCCGGAUGUCAACUUAAAUUAGUACUGCCGCGACUGAUCACUGAGGUAAACCCGGGGAAUUCCAUCUGAGUUACGGCGUAAUCCCGAAUGAGAAACUGAGAAUUCAGGCCGGUACGCACGCAUGCGCUUAACGCUGCAAAAGUACCAAGCACGUACGUAACGUGCGCACCGCGCGAGGAAACAUGGGGCCAAAGACGGUGGGAAAACAGCUGCCAGGCACGUAAAAGGCAAGUACGCCACGCUGCACAUCGCUGUUACACGGAGAGAACCCGAGGCAGUAGGUGAGCCGAGCGCCCGAGCCGCGGGCUGCGCGCGCCGGCAGAUCUGACCCUUGGGGGAGCAGACGAGCAGAGAUAGCUACAGUAGCCAGUAGGAGCGUAGCCGGCGACGGCGCCGCGCGCAGGUGCACUGCACACGGUUGCGCUAGCGCGGGCGGGCGCGCGGUGGGUGGAAACCAGGGGAGCAUGCAGAGACGAGCCAGGGGGAGGGGAUGCAACAGUGCAAGUAGUCCGGGCCGGCCGGCUGGUCGGCUCGGCUCGACUGAAAUCACACUGUGGUAGUCUAGACCGCGGGCCCCAUGGGGUAAACCCCUAUUUAGAUGUUUACCCCUAUUUAGAUGCUUAGAGAAAGUUUAAUGGUAUAGUCCACUACUAGCUCCAAUUCAUCUAUAGUCAAUCUAAUAGCCAAUUCAUACAAUAGUUGCUUAAUAUACUAUUAAUACCUGGUCCCACCUAUCAUAUUCACAUUACGUCUUGAAGUCCGUGCUGCAGCUAGUUUACCCCGCUACUUUUCUCUCUCUUCCUUUAUCUCUUUAAAAUAUGCUUAUAGUUGCUUAUAGCCUGCUAUCCUACAUGCUCUUAGCAUAUGGAUUCUUCAAUUACUAGCUCGAAAAUGAAUUGGAGUGUAUACACGUCGUGUAGCGGUGUAGGAUGCUUGAAUUGCUUGUUAAAUAAAAAAAAACCGGUGCCUUUUUCCUAGUAGAUCAAUAACACCUGUUAUCUGCUCGGUUAAAAAUGAAAUCUUUAUAUAGAGUAGUAUAUCAUUGCCCAAAAAGGUAUUUGCAUACGUAUAUACCAGUCUAGUAGUGUCAUAAGACCAAGUUAGAUUGGCGUUGGCCUUAAGUCCCACUAAUAAAAUGCCAAAUUUACUUCACAUCGACAACAGGGAGUUUAAAUUUGCUUUGCUUAUUUAGCUUGAUAGUAGUAUGUCCACAUCGCAUAUCCUCUCAAUACGAUUUGUUAAUGAAAAGAUGGACGAUGAUUCGAUGAAUGCAUCGUACUAGACUGGAGUUUCCAGACAGGUUGACGGUAUACACAAAUCACAAAUGCAGGACGCACAAGGUUUGCCUUGGCCAAACCACGGCAACGGAGCACGCGAAACAAACAAGCUAAUCAGGCGAUUACCACCCAUCCUGCCAUCCACCAGACCACAAUUCUGCACGCUGCAACGGCAAAAAUGGUUUUUUCUCCCUCUUGUAUAUAAGCCCCAUAAUGUUCACCACUCGCUUGUCAAUUUCAGCUAAGCAGAAAUCAACACAAGUCCAAGUCAAGUCAAGCGUUCUCACUAAAUCAAACCCCCUCACUGCCACCUUCGUUUGCGCGCCAUGGAGCUUGCCCUGGUUGGCGACCCUUCGAAUGGCGUGGCGAAGCCGUCGUGCGACUCCGUCGGCUCGCUGCCCGCCGUCAGCUCCAAGGCCGUCAUCCACCCGCCGGUGACCAGCGCGGCGGGCGCCACGCUCGGCAGGCACCUCGCGAGGCGCCUCGUGCAGAUCGGCGCCACCGACGUGUUCGCCGUCCCCGGGGACUUCAACCUCACCCUGCUCGACUACCUCAUCGCCGAGCCCGGGCUCAAGCUCAUCGGCUGCUGCAACGAGCUCAACGCCGGGUACGCGGCCGACGGCUACGCCCGCGCCCGCGGCGUCGGCGCGUGCGCCGUCACGUUCACCGUCGGUGGCCUCAGCGUGCUCAACGCCAUCGCCGGCGCCUACAGCGAGAACCUCCCCGUGAUCUGCAUCGUCGGCGGGCCCAACUCCAACGACUACGGCACCAACCGCAUCCUGCACCACACCAUCGGCCUCCCGGACUUCUCACAGGAGCUCCGCUGCUUCCAGACCAUCACCUGCUACCAGGUCCGCGCAAUGAGCCCUGCCCUCGUCUUUCUUUUGCACUGAGUGUCUUGCUGCAUUUCGUCGAACACCUGAGCUGAACAGAGAGUGCGUUGCACGCAUGCAGGCCGUCAUUAACAACCUCGACGACGCGCACGAGCAGAUCGACACCGCCAUAGCGACGGCACUAAGGGAGAGCAAGCCAGUGUACAUCAGCGUGGGCUGCAACCUGGCGGGCCUCUCUCACCCGACGUUUAGCCGCGAGCCAGUGCCGUUGUUCAUCUCGCCAAGGUAAUACUGAGCUCAAAACGCAUGCAUCUUGUGUUAGAAUCUUUUUUUAUCCAUUAGUUUAUUAAUUUUGGUAUCUGUUCCAUUAGAUUGAGCAACAAGGCGAACUUGGAGCACGCCGUCGAAGCCGCGGCGGACUUCCUGAACAAGGCGGUGAAGCCGGUGAUGGUCGGGGGGCCAAAGAUCCGGGUGGCCAAGGCGAAGAAGGCGUUCGCCGGCAUCGCGGAGUCGAGCGGGUACCCGUUCGCGGUGAUGCCGUCCGCCAAGGGCCUCGUGCCGGAGCACCACCCGCGGUUCAUCGGCACGUACUGGGGCGCCGUGAGCACCACCUUCUGCGCCGAGAUCGUCGAGUCCGCCGACGCCUACCUCUUCGCCGGCCCGAUCUUCAACGACUACAGCUCCGUCGGCUACUCCCUGCUGCUGAAGCGGGAGAAGGCCGUCAUCGUGCAGCCCGACCGCGUGGUGGUCGGCAACGGCCCGGCGUUCGGCUGCAUCCUCAUGACUGAGUUCCUCGACGCGCUCGCCAAACGCCUCGACCGCAACACGACGGCGUACGACAACUACCGCCGCAUCUUCAUCCCCGACCGCGAGCCGCCCAACGGCCAGCCCGACGAGCCACUCAGGGUCAACAUCCUCUUCAAGCACAUCAAGGAGUUGCUGUCCGGCGACACCGCCGUCA
rnacentral:lncRNA from 1 species